rnacentral:piRNA from 1 species
UGCUGUGUUUCCCGGUCCCUCCCUGCCAUC